CCACUACUACCAUUACUGCCACCAGUACUACUGCCUAGGAAAGGCGUUUUCAGGAUGAUGACAACUGGCUUUGUGCCUUUAAGCUUAAUAUGUGGCCGUGAAGUUUAAUUUAAGAGCAAACCUGUGACAGGUAGGCUUCAGCCCAUGACAGUGAUCGAUUGUAUGUGCCUGAUAGUGAGUGAGCUUGUGCGUGUGUGUGUGAUAGUGAAUGAGCUUGUG